GAUGAACGCUGGCGGCGUGCCUAAUACAUGCAAGUCGAGCGAACAGACGAGGAGCUUGCUCCUCUGACGUUAGCGGCGGACGGGUGAGUAACACGUGGAUAACCUACCUAUAAGACUGGGAUAACUUCGGGAAACCGGAGCUAAUACCGGAUAAUAUAUUGAACCGCAUGGUUCAAUAGUGAAAUACGGUUUUGCUUUCACUUAUAGAUGGAUCCGCGCCGCAUUAGCUAGUUGGUAAGGUAACGGCUUACCAAGGCAACGAUGCGUAGCCGACCUGAGAGGGUGAUCGGCCACACUGGAACUGAGACACGGUCCAGACUCCUACGGGAGGCAGCAGUAGGGAAUCUUCCGCAAUGGGCGAAAGCCUGACGGAGCAACGCCGCGUGAGUGAUGAAGGUCUUCGGAUCGUAAAACUCUGUUAUUAGGGAAGAACAAAUGUGUAAGUAACUAUGCACGUCUUGACGGUACCUAAUCAGAAAGCCACGGCUAACUACGUG
rnacentral:rRNA from 1 species